UUUUUUUUUUUUUUUUUGUUUUUUGUUUUCUUUUUAGGGCCACACCUGUGGCAUAUGGAGGUUCCCAGACUAGGAGUUGAAUUGGAGCUGCAGCUGCCAGCAUACACCACAGACACAGCCACAGCAAUGCCAGACCAGAGCCGCAUCUGGGACCUACGCUGCAGCUUGUGGCAAAGCCAGAUCCUUAAUGCAAUCAGUGUGGCCAGGAAUUGAACCCCAUGGAUACUAGUCCAGUUCUUAAAACACUGAACCACAAUGGGAACCCUUUUAUUUCCUUCCUUCUGAUAAGUUAUGGCUUAAGUUGAUGGGGGCUGCCUUUAUGAUUUUUUUCCCUUACUUUUAAAAUUCUUCACUUUUGAUUUUUGACAUUUUUAUUAUAAUGUGUUUUGGAAAGGACUGUUUUGGAUUGAAAUUUUGUUCAUAAAACUUACUAGUUUUAUGAACUUGGAAAUAUAAAUCUAUCCCUAGCUUCGGGAAGUUAUUAGUCACUAUUUCUUUUAAAUAAGGUUUCUACCCGUAUCUUUCUCUUUCUUCUGGGACCCCAAUGAUUUGAUCAUCUUUUUAUUUUAAUGGUGUCAUAUAUAUACUAUAGGCUGUCUUUAUUCCUCUUUUGCUCCUUUGAUUGGAUAAUUUCAUUGGUUUAUCUUCUUGUUCACUGAUUCUUUGAUUAAUCAAAUCUGAUAUUGAGCUAUUUUAAUUCUUUUUUUAAAUUACUCAAUGAAUUUAUUACAUUUAUAGUUGUACAAUUCAAUUUUAUAGGUUUCCAUUCCACACCCCCAGGGCAUCCCUGCCCCAAUCUCUCUACUUUGGAAACCAUAAGUUUUUCAAAGUCUGUGAGUCAGUAUCUGUUCUGCAAAGAAGUUCAGUCUGUACUUUUUUCAGAUUCCACAUGUCAGUGAAAGCAUUUAAUGUUGGUGUCUCAUUGUAUGACUGACUUCACCUAGCGUAAUAGUUUCUAGGUCUAUCCAUGUUGCUAAAAAUGUCAGUAUUUCAUUCCUUUUAAUGGCUGAGUAAUAUUCCAUUGUGUAUAUGUAGCACCUCUUCUUGAUCCAAUCCUCUGUUGAUGGACAUUUAGGUUGUUUCCAUGUCUUGGCUAUUACAAAUAGUGCUCCAAUGAACAGCAGAGUACAUGUGUCUUUGCAAGUCAUUGUUUUCUCUGGUUAGAUGCCCAGGAGUGGGAUUGCUGGAUCAAAUUGUAGUUCUAUUUUUAGUUUUCUGAGGACUCUCCAUACUGUUUUCCAAAGUGGUUGCACCAAUUUACAACCCCAUCAACAGUGUACUAGUGUUCCUUUUUCUCCACACCCUCUCCAGCACUUAUUGUUUGUAGACUUUUGGAUGAUGGUCAUUCUGGCUGGUGUAAGGUGAUAGCUCACGGUGGUUUUGAUUUGCAUUCCUCUAAUAAUGAGUGACGUUGAACAUCUUUUCAUGUGUUUUUUGGCCAUCUGUAUGUUUUCUUUGGAGAAUUGUCUGUUUAGAUCUUCUGCCCAUUUUUUGAGGGGUUGUUUGUUUUUUUGGUAUUGAGUGGUAGGAGGUGUUUAUAAAUUUUGGAGAUGAAUCCCUUGUCAGUUGAAUCACUUGCAAAUAUUUUCUCCCAUCCUGUGGGCUGUCUUUUCAUUUUUUUAGGAUUACCUUUGCUGUGCAGAAACUUUUAAGUUUAAUUAAGUCCCAUUUGUUUGUUUUUACUGUCAUUAUUCUAAUAGGUGGAUCUGAGAAGAUAUUGCUAUCAUUUAUGUUGGAGAGUGUUUGGUCUCUGUUUUCCUCUAAGAAUUUUAUAAUAUCUGGUCUUAUAUCUAGGUCUUUAAUCCAUUUUGAGUUGAUUUUUGUGUAUGGUGUUAGGGAGUGUUCUAAUUUCAUUUUUUUACAUGUGGCUGUCCAGUUUUCCCAGCACCACUUAUUGAAAAGGCUGUCUUUUCUCCAUUGUAUAUUCCUGCCUCCUUUGUCAUAGAUUAGUUGGCUGUAGGUGUGUGGGUUUAAUUCUGGGCUUUCUAUCCUGUUCCACUGAUCUAUAUUUCUGUCUUUAUGCCAGUACCAUACGGUUUUGAUGACUAUUGCUAGAUUCAGCCAUUAUGGUCUCCAGCGUCAAAAUUUCUGUUUGGUCUUUAAAAUUGUUGUUGUUAUUUAACUUCUCUUUUUGUUGUGAUGUUUUCUUGAUAUUGUUAAACUGUUUAUCUGUGUUCCCUUGUAGUUCUCUGACCAUUUUUGGAACAAUCAUUUUGAGUUCUUUGUUGGGAAAUUCCUGAAUCUCUUCUUUGGGCCAGAUAUUGGAGGCUUAUUAUAUUCCUUUGUUGGAGUCAUGUUUUCCUGGUUCUUCAUGAUCCCCUUAGCUUUGCAUAGGUAUUUGUACAUAUGAAUAAACAGUCACUCUUGUAGACUUUAUGGGCCAACUUUGGUAAAGGAUGACUUUCACCUUCAGAUGGGGACAUCCUGGAGUGUGACACCAGAUCCAGUGGCACAAAGUCCUACAUAUGAUUACACUGGGCCCAAGGGGUCAUGGUAUCCUUUAGAUUCAGUCUACUUAGGUACACAUCAUUGAGUCAUUCUUAGUAAGGACUUUAGGGAGCUCUCAGUGGCUAGAAGAGCUUUUGGAAUCCUCAUUGGCACCUUAAUGUCCCGUAGGUAUGGACCAGUUGUGCAGGCAUGGUGGUAGCUGAAGUCAGUGGUGUGCACACACAUGGCUGUGGGGCCAGCUUCAAGUUCCAAUGUGGUGGCAGGCUCUGGUAACAGAUGUGUAGUGUGGUGUAGGCCAGGGUAGUCAGAAAGAUCAGAGGAAACUAUGGCCUUAAUGGAAGCUGUGGGGGCUUUGAUGUCAUUGUAAUCACUUGUAGCUGCAUAGUCCCCCCCAGGCAUCUGCCCUACAGUGGAGGCCUGUGAAGGGGGUUGAAUUAGGGCCAUUCAGGUACACAGCUAGAGGAGCAAACUGCAGGUGAACAUGGUAGUAGGCCAAGACAGAAAACGGCCUGGUCUGGGUCCACAGCAAUUGUAGGGGCUCUGGCAAUCAGCAUACCAUUGUACAGCUGCACAGUCUUCCCAAGGUGUGCACAUACUAGUGGAGGUUGGUGACACGUGUCAGGCAAUCAGCAUACCAGUACAUAUCUGGAGGGCCAGCCCUAAGUAUGUGCACAACAGUAAGUUUCAGCUGCAGGAGUCUAGGCUGGUGAUUUGUAUUUGUAUAGCCACAGAGAUCUGGGCUGUCCAUAGGUUCAGUCCUUGGGCUCUAGUAGGGACAGAAGGGAGCAAUCAUGGAGGGACUUAGGCAGCUGGCAUCAAUGAAUGUUAAUACCUAUGGAGCAAAAACCAGUGAAAUCUGUAGGGUAUCCAUAUCAGCUGUGCUGGCCACUAGUUUAUUCAAUGGCAAAAUUUGCUGGGUUUGUCAGCAAAGCAUGUCACUGUGAACUGAGAUGGCUACUAUGUGGUUGCUAUUGGUAGCCCCUGCUUUUUCCUCUUGUACUUAGCUGGCUCUAUUCAUCUCCUCUUUGGCAAUCUGAGUAGGGGAAAACCAAAUUGAGACUUUCAUGUAGUGCCUGGAAAUGCUAGGGAAGCUGGCUGUUCAUCCUACUCUACCUCUCCUGGCAAGGGAACUCUGACUCCCUUUUGGCAUUGACCAAUGCUGACUUGGGGGAUGGAAUGAUACAGGCAAAAUGAAGUGGUCUUUCUUCUAUUUUUGUGUGGUUAUUCUCAGGGUUUUUUCUCCCACUGUGUUGUUACAGUUUCUUAAGUGGACCCCAGAGCUUUCCCAGUGCUGCUUUUGUUCAUAGAAAGCUGUCUAAUUGUUGAUGUUUGUGAGGAAAUGGAAGCUGGAGUGAUGUCACCUCAAAGAAUGUAUAUAAAAUGCUUAGAGUGUAGAAUGAGUGUUAUUUAAACAUUUGUUGUAACUAUUAUUACUAUUACUAUUAAUGUUGCAAGUGGAAAGAGUUUAUCAGACAUGGAUCCAAAAUAUACCUUCAUUAAUAGCUAGAUAUAUGGUUUAGGGAAUUAAUUUUACCUUUCAGUCUCAAUUUUCUCAUCUACAAAGUCAUGCCUUAUAGAUUUGUUAUGAGAGCAAAAUGAAAUAACUAAAGCAUCCAGCAAAAUUCCUGGAAACCUGCUUGCUCAAUACAUCCUAAUACUUUUCCAUCUAUAGUAAAUUACCAUAGAUUUGGUGCCAGAAUUACUUAGUCACAUUACUCCAGUAAGUUCAUACAAGGCACUAAUAAGGAUUAUAAAAGCUGGUCCUUGGAUUGUCAUUGCUUCAUGUGCAGCUUGUGCUACUAACCUUUAUGCUUGAUUAAAACUGACAUCCAUGGUCUCUACGGAACUUCAAUGGCAAUGGCUACUGAAAAUACUUCUGUGAACCCCAUAGCCUCACUUCAUUAACAAAGCAUAUUUUCCUAAGAGGCAUGGACAUUGUUUACCAGCUCUCAAAAGAUUUGAUUACAACCACAAGAUUGCUUUCUAGGCACGAAUGAAUGCUUUUAUCUGUCUUGAGCCAGCUUAGUACCAUGCAGUAUCUGGAGACGUGCCAACUAGGGCACUGAAGCCUUUCUCCAGAUGGUGCCAUCGCAUCUUGCCUGGUUCCAAAAGAAUACCCAUGUCUUCUGCUCUGCUUGCAUGGCAUAGUCUUACACUCCCUCUGCUUUUUUGUCUGAUACCACUUUUGUUUCACAAAAGUGCAUCCACAGCCCUUCCUGCCCACACCCCCUCCCACCCCCCAACAAGGCAGCUUCCACAUAGCAUCCCAUUGUCUAUUUGUUCCUCUUGCCCUUAUUUCUUGGGAGAAUCUCACUUUCAGGCUCGAUCUCUCAUUCCUUGAGUGGCCGAGAAAUGAGACCCUUCUGUCCCACAAGUAGGGUUCAUGCCCCUACCAUGGUUCCAAGGAAAGUCCAAAGCUGUCCUGGGGCACACAUGAAACAUUGAAAAUGUACCCCAUGAAUGAACCCCAUGCCAGUCACCAAACAAGGAAGCCAACAGCAUAACUAGCUUUACUUCACAUGCAUACUCUCAUUCUUUUCACUAGCUUCCACUGUUUCCAGAAGACCAGAUAAACAGAAGAUGGAUUCUAGACAAUUGUUUUGGCUCACAUUCCUGAGUUUUUAACUGAGCUGAUCAUGUCCAGGUGAUAUCAUUUGCAUCUUUUCAUUACCUUAAACAGUUCAUACUUAUUGUUUGACAUGAAUGUAAAGCUGAAUAAACAGCAUGGUUGUUUCAUGGGUAUGAGAUCAUGACUCUUUACACCACUAUCUGAUUGAGCUUUCCUGAGUCAUUUAUAGUAUGCUAUGCCUGUGCCAAGCCCUGUGAGAACAGUUUACAUGAGAAGCAACAUAUCUGUAUGACACUUGCCUUAUGGUGAGAGAGAGAGAGAAAUUUAUCAGUGAUGUCAUAGUAAAAUAUAUGACAGAGACAUACUAAGGGGAGCACAAGUCGGAGCUGGAGGUAUGGGGGAGAUAGAACAAGGAGGAUAUUGUGGAACACUCACACUAAGCUGACUGGAGCAGUGGGUAAAAAAGCCAGAUGGAUGAAGACAAGUGGGAAAGAGACCCACAUCUCCCUCAGACCUCUGUCCCUUCUGGUUUUGUCACUGUAGACUACACUUUAUCCUGCUUUCUCUGUGCAUUAGAAACUCUGAAAUUUUUUCAUAAAUGAAUGAAAAUCCCUGUUUCUCACUGUGCAAAAACAAAAAGAGUAAAAUCUCUAUCCUUUAGGAAACAGUGACUGUUUAGUUUUAUACGACCUUACAUUCAGGCAUGGCUAUAACUUUAGUAUGUGGUUUGUUCUCCACCAGCCUCUCAUGAUACUAGGGCUUGCAGCUGGAGUAGGUUAUUCUGCAUCUCUGAGUUUUAUUAGACAGACUAUUUCUAUGAUGCCCUCACCCUCAUCUUUAGCCCUGCUCAGGGAGUCUGUAAUCAUGGAAACAUGGCAAGUUAAUUUCAUGAGGGAAGAGUUUUUUCUUGGAGAGUUUAGGCUUGUGUAAGUGGUAGGAGAAAUGUCUGGUCAGUUAGGGAACAGUAUGAGGAUUUGGGAUUCUAGGGGAGUAUGGAAGAGAGGAAGGAACUUAUAAAAGAAAUAAGGUAGCUUCAAAUAUAAACUGGGUUUUCCUCAGGGCAUUUCUGUGGGGUUCUGAUUUUAUUCCUAGCUAAGCUGCUCUGGCUAACAGGAAAUGAAGUAUAGCAUUUCUCGAGAGAUAAUGAGACUUGCAACACCAACACUUGCAGUGGAAUUGCAAAGACUCCCAUCCAAAAUUAUCAGCUCUUUCCUAGGGAAGGACCUAAUUUUAUGGAAAUAUCUAUUGUUCCUGGAAAACUAAAAGCUUUCUACAGUCUUCUGAGCCUGAUUGGGUCUGUGGUUUCUGUGAUGCUGAGCUGUGGGUCAGGACAGAGGCUAUGG
ensembl:lncRNA